rnacentral:rRNA from 1 species
GUAGGGAAUAUUGCACAAUGGGCGAAAGCCUGAUGCAGCAACGCCGCGUGCGCGAUGAAGGCCUUCGGGUCGUAAAGCGCUUUUCGGGAGGAUGAGGAAGGACAGUACUCCCGGAAUAAGUCACGGCUAACUACGUGCCAGCAGCCGCGGUAAAACGUAGGUGGCGAGCGUUAUCCGGAUUUACUGGGCGUAAAACGCGUGCAGGCGGUCUGGUAAGUCGGGCGUGAAAUCUCUCGGCUCAACCGAGAGAGGUCGUCCGAUACUACCGGACUUGAGGGCAGUAGAGGAAGGUGGAAUUCCCGGUGUAGUGGUGAAAUGCGUAGAUAUCGGGAGGAACACCAGUGGCGAAGGCGGCCUUCUGGGCUGCCCCUGACGCUCAGACGCGAAAGCUAGGGGAGCGAACGGGAUUAGAAACCCUAGUAGUCC